AUGAACGCAGAGCUUGAAAAACCAUACACAGAAGAGGAGGUCCGUAGAGCUCUCUUCCAGAUGGCCUCGUCAAAGGCCCCGGGGGUGGAUGGAUUUACGGCAGGGUUCUAUCAGCGCCACUGGAAGUUGCUUAAAGAUGAUAUCGUUCCAGCUAUGCUUGAUUUCCUAAAUGGGGGAGAAUUGCCGUUAGGGAUGAACGACACGUCUAUUACUCUCAUCCCGAAGGUAAGCUUCCCACAAAGAAUCACACAAUAUCGCCAUAUAUCACUCUAUCCGGUUUUAUACAAGAUCGUUGCUAAGGCAAUCGCUAACCGUGUUCGUGAGUAUCUAGAUGAUAUUGUUGGUGCUGAACAGAGUGCUUUCGUCCCCGGCCGCCUGAUAACUGACAACAUCCUUAUUGCACAUGAGAGUGUGCAUGCAAUGAGAAGAAGGAAAAAAGGGGGCAAUUCAGUGUGUGCGAUCAAGUUAGACAUGAUGAAGGCCUAUGACCGUGUCGAAUGGCACUAUCUGCAAGCCAUCAUGCUCAAACUUGGAUUCGGUAUGGAAUUUGUUCGCCUUGUCAUGAAGUGUGUUUCCUCAGUCAGAUUCUCAAUCCGUGUCAACGGCGAGCUUCUUCCUCUCUUUUCCCCUUCAAGGGGCUUAAGGCAGGGAUGCCCAAUGUCUCCGUACCUGUUUUUUCUGUGUGCGGAAGGCCUUACAUCAUUGUUGAAUCGUUUCGGUGGAGAAGAUGCAGACAAAGGCAUAAGGGUCAGCUACCGCUCGCCCUGGGUCAACCAUCUCCUCUUCGCGGAUGAUAGUCUAAUUUUCAUGCAAGCCAAGGAGCAAAGUGCUCAAAGAUUGAAUGAGAUCUUGAGAAUUUAUGAAGAAGGCUUGAGCCAGGCAGUGAAUAAAGAGAAAAGCUCGAUCUACUUUAGCCCAAACACUCCGGCUCCGGAUAAGUUGCUACUGAAACAAACUCUGAAUAUUUCAGUGGAGGCAUUCAGUGAGCGCUAUCUUGGUCUCCCAACCGCCGUGGGUAGGAUCACAAGCGGCACGUUCGAUCACAUUGGGGAAAGGAUCCGAAACAAGCUCCAACCAGGGUCAGAACGAUUGAUUUCUUGUGCUGGACGGGAAGUACGCAUCAAGGCGAUCGCCCAAGCCAUCCCAAUGUUCAGUAUGAGUUGCUUCAAGUUAACAAGGAAGGUGUGCAAGAACCUGGCCUCUUGCUUAGCGAAAUAUUGGUGGAGUAGUUCCCUUGAUCGCCGAUCUUUGCAC
rnacentral:rRNA from 1 species